AAGGAAUAUUGGACAAUGGUCGCAAGACUGAUCCAGCCAUGCCGCGUGCAGGAAGACGGCCCUAUGGGUUGUAAACUGCUUUUGUACCAGAGAAAACCUAUCUACGUGUAGAUAGCUGAUAGUAUGGUAAGAAUAAGCAUCGGCUAACUUCGUGCCAGCAGCCGCGGUAAUACGGAGGGUGCGAGCGUUAUCCGGAUUUACUGGGUUUAAAGGGUGCGUAGGUGGGCUUAUAAGUCAGUGGUGAAAUCUCCGAGCUUAACUUGGAAACUGCCGUUGAUACUAUAGGUCUUGAAUUAUCUGGAGGUAAGCUGAAUAUGUCAUGUAGCGGUGAAAUGCUUAGAUAUGACAUAGAACACCAAUUGCGAAGGCAGCUUACUACAUAUAAAUUGACGCUGAGGCACGAAAGCGUGGGGAUCAAACA
rnacentral:rRNA from 1 species